rnacentral:rRNA from 1 species
UGAACGCUGGCGGCGUGCCUACUACAUGCACGUCGAGCGAACAGACGAGGAGCUUGCUCCUCUGACGUUAGCGGCGGACGGGUGAGUAACACGUGGAUAACCUACCUAUAAGACUGGGAUAACUUCGGGAAACCGGAGCUAAUACCGGAUAAUAUAUUGAACCGCAUGGUUCACUAGUGAAAGACGGUUUUGCUGUCACUUAUAGAUGGAUCCGCGCCGCAUUAGCUAGUUGGUAAGGUAACGGCUUACCAAGGCAACGAUGCGUAGCCGACCUGAGAGGGUGAUCGGCCACACUGGAACUGAGACACGGUCCAGACUCCUACGGGAGGCAGCAGUAGGGAAUCUUCCGCAAUGGGCGAAAGCCUGACGGAGCAACGCCGCGUGAGUGAUGAAGGUCUUCGGAUCGUAAAACUCUGUUAUUAGGGAAGAACAAAUGUGUAAGUAACUAUGCACGUCUUGACGGUACCUAAUCAGAAAGCCACGGCUAACUACGUG